rnacentral:lncRNA from 1 species
GGGGGAUUUUGGGGCGCGGAGAUGGAGCGAUGGGUGUUAGGGGGCCUCGGGCUUCGGGUGGUCUUGUGUCAGCGGAAAACAGUCACUGUUGAUCCAUGAGAGAUGCAGCCUAGAGUGUUCCAGCUAUUAGAAAUUACACACCACAAGCAGCCCUAUGGCAACAAGGAGGAAGGGGUCUUUCUGUGUUCACCACAAGAGAAUGUUGCCAGCAGUGUGCCAUCACCAGACCAUCAUCACCGUCCCAGGGGUUUCCGUGCAGGACCUGGAAACACAGUGAGGAACUGGCUGUCACCCACAGAAGGAAGUGCGUCAGAGGUGAUUUAAUCCCAGCCACCAUGCCCAAAACUGAGUCUUUAACUCUUUCACUUGGAGCAAGAGGGCAGUUGCUGGCACCUAAACGAGCAGUGCCAGUAAUUGCUGUGUGCUGUGAUAAAUGCAUAUGGCCAUGCACAAGUCUGAAUGUAUGAAGCAAAGUCCCUUGGAACUGCCUACAGCAAAAGUUGAAGUCAUCUGGAAGUCACAAGAUGUCUUAUCUGUAGUAUGAAGUCAUGAGUCAUUUUAUGCCCAAGAAACCAACAUCAUCAAAUUCAGAGAAAUCACAGCGUGGGACAGACACAAUGAGACAAAGAAUACACGAUGCUCCAAGGUACGAAGGAAUAUUAAGAAGAGCCAGGGCUUGGAAUUCCUGUUGCAUGGAGGAAUGAGAGAUGAAUACCAUUUAUCUGUCUUGCAGAUAGGGAAUUGCAAGCCUAUAGAGCUGCUCAGGUCUCACUAUGUAUUGUGUGAUCCACAG